CAAGGUUUCCGUAGGUGAACCUGCGGAAGGAUCAAUACUGAAGGAAACCAAGGGUUUUGAGACUGCGUCCUUCAAUUGGGCGUGUGCUCGACUCUUACUCUUUCAUAUCCCAUACACACCUUUGUGCACCAAGGGGACCCUUGUGUCCCCCUUUUUUUCAUAAAUACCGAGUUAUAUGCAUGUAUAGUUUGUAUACUCUACGGAGUUAUUAUAAAUACAACUUUCAACAACGGAUCUCUUGGCUUUCGCAUCGAUGAAGAACGCAGCGAACGUGCGAAACGUAAUGUGAAUUGCAGAAUUCAGUGAAUCAUCGAAUCUUUGAACGCAUCUUGCGCUCCUUGGUAUUCCGAGGAGCAUGCCUGUUUGAGUGUCGUGAAUAACUCUCAAUUUCAAAUAUUUUAGAAUAUCUGACAUUGGACUUGGGCGUUGUCGUGUUUCUACGACUCGUCCUAAAUGCAUUAGCGAUCUGCCCUGAUCACACACAAUGUGAUAAGUAAAAAAUAAAGCAUUGUUAUGGUUGGGUUUGAAAGAUGGCUUCUAACCGUCGUAAUGACAAAUAAAAGACCAUGUCGUUUGACCUCAAAUCAGGCAGGACUACCCGCUGAACUUAAGCA
rnacentral:rRNA from 1 species